CACUUCGAUCCCAUUAACUUCUGAGACACAAGGGAUGGAUUGUAGCAAUCAAUAAUUUAACUCCUACUGACUUUGGAAAGAGCAGGAUCUGCCCAAAGUUGUCGUGAAGGUGACCAUUUCAUACAAACGCUCAAGCUGAAGUUAAUAUUAAGAGGGCUCCUCCAUUCUUUGAAGCUCAAGAAAUAUAUCACAGUUGUUUUUUUGGGUGGAUCAGGCUCUUCUCUGCAUGAUUUCUGCAUCAGCCAUUCCGGAAAUUUGAAGAUGAGUUGUCUGCAAAAAGAAAAAGAGACAAAACUUCUCUUGUGAAACUUUCUCACCUUUCUGACUGGAUGAAGACAGGUCCUGAAACAUGCCGGGCUGAGAAGAGCUACUCAAAAAAAUAAUUGAACAUGCUGGCCUAUUUACUUACUAUUUACUUUACUUCUUACUUAAGAAGUUCCAAGAUAUCACUGCUAAGAGUCCUGGCUCAAGCCCUGCAAUGAUGUCAACAACAAAUAACAUUUCCAGUCCAGGAUGAACAUAUGCAUCCAUUUUUUCAGCAAGGAGUAGAAGUUUCAGGAGGUUGUCAAUUUGAAGAUAUUCUCAUCUUAAUCAUUACAUCAUUUGCUUUGUUCGUUAUUAUCCAGGUGACACCAAGGAAUUGCAUAAAUAAGGAAUACUGCCACGCAAAUGAUGAGGUACAGCAAAUGACAUCAGCAAAUUACAAAACAACCCCUGCAAGUUAUACAAGGAGACAGAGAAUCCAUUCCACAUGAUCAGGAAGAACAAAGUGAUAAUAAAAGCAGGUUUUAUGGAGGUUAUGUCUCACAGCUCUUUAGGUCAGAUAAUAAUGUGCUAUGUCAUUAAGAUGUGGUAUCACUUUCCUGACUAUUGCAAUUGAUGGUUCAUGAUAUGAAUAGACAAUAAAGCAAGCAGUAUGUUUUGAGAUCGUCAUCUAUAAAA
ensembl:lncRNA